rnacentral:lncRNA from 1 species
UGCAAAUAUAUUGGUUUGGCUUCAUGUGGUAAACAAGCUACCAAAAGCUGUAGAUAUUGAUUCGAUUAUUUCUGUAGAAGUUCUGAAUAAAAAUAUUGAUCCGGUUGGAUAUGUGGCAAUCACAAAGUUUAAGAUCCAUGGCCUAUGCGGUGUAGUAUCGUCCCUGGUAUUUAGUUGCCAGUGAGAUUUUAGCAUUUGAGGCUUAUCGACACAUCUGGAAAGUGUCGGGACAAGUCGGAGUCGUUUUGGCGUGAAUAGAAUGCAGAACGGACUCGACGCGAGGCAAGAGUGGAGUUCUGACGCUGAAAUCCUCAAAGUGCAGGAUUUCAGUGUUGAGUAUCG